AGCCACGCAGUGAGCACAAAGCGAACUAUUCUUUCGCCUUUUACUAAAGAAUACCGUGUGUGCGCUGCAACUAGUGGCAUACGCCAAUUUUUGGAGGGUUCUCUUCGUUAGAGUAA
rnacentral:snRNA from 1 species